AUUGAACGCUGGCGGCAGGCCUAACACAUGCAAGUCGAGCGGUUGACGGGAGCUUGCUCCCUGAUUCAGCGGCGGACGGGUGAGUAAUGCCUAGGAAUCUGCCUAUUAGUGGGGGACAACGUUUCGAAAGGAUCGCUAAUACCGCAUACGUCCUACGGGAGAAAGCAGGGGACCUUCGGGCCUUGCGCUAAUAGAUGAGCCUAAGUCGGAUUAGCUAGUUGGUGGGGUAAGGGCCUACCAAGGCGACGAUCUGUAGCGGGUCUGAGAGGAUGAUCCGCCACACUGGGACUGGGACACGGCCCAGACUCCUACGGGAGGCAGCAGUGGGGAAUAUUGGACAAUGGGCGGAAGCCUGAUCCAGCCAUGCCGCGUGUGUGAAGAAGGCCUUUUGGUUGUAAAGCACUUUAAGCGAGGAGGAGGCUACCUGGAUUAAUACUCUAGGAUAGUGGACGUUACUCGCAGAGUAAGCACCGGCUAACUCUGUGCCAGCAGCCGCGGUAAAAC
rnacentral:rRNA from 1 species